AGAGUUUGAUCCUGGCUCAGAGUGAACGCUGGCGGCGUAGAUUAGGCAUGCAAGUCGAGCGAUGCCUCUGUUUGAAGCAUUGAAGCCGCAAGGUGGAUGUGCGGAUGACGGGGGACAUAGCGGCAGACUGGUGAGGAAUACGCGAGUAAUCUACCUUUAAGGCGGGGAUAGCUUCGCGAAAGUGGAGGUAAUACCCGAUGUGUUCAUUUUCGCGCGAGCGAAAAUGAGUAAAGGCGCUUCGUAAGAGGUGAUGCUUAAAGAUGAGCUCGUGUCCUAUCAGCUAGUUGGUAGGGUAAUGGCCUACCAAGGCUUUUGACGGGUAGCUGGCCUGAGAGGGUGGUCAGCCACAUGGGGACUGAGACACUGCCCCAACUCCUACGGGAGGCUGCAGUCGAGGAUAUUUAGCAAUGGGCGAAAGCCUGACUAUGUGACGCCGCGUGAGGGAUGAAGGUCUUCGGAUUGUAAACCUCUUUCGAUGGGAAAGAAAACUCCGUUUAAUAAACGGAACUGACGGUACCCAGAGAAG
rnacentral:rRNA from 1 species